rnacentral:lncRNA from 12 species
UAUGAAUUAUUUCUGACUGCAUCAGUCAUCAGUAACACAAGCAUCUCUUAAGGAUCAAUAACUCAAAUCAAUUGUGACGCUUCCUGGAAUAUUUGUAUAAUAUAAAUAUAAGUAUAAUAUAAAAGUUCAAUAAAUUGGUGAAAAAAAUAGAUGAUGACCACUUGGGAGUUAUCACAAAUAUGUAUAUAAAAUAAAAUGAAACUGUAAACAUUAGCAACUAGAUCUCCAAUAUUCAUUUGGUUCUGUAUCAUUAUUUUGCUUUUGCAAUAAAAAAAAUGUGAGAGAGAAAUAACAGCAACCAAUUAAUGUUUUCAGAAAAAGUUUAAUAAAGUAUUACAAUCUUCUUAUGUCUUUUCUUUAAUAGACGUUGGCAGAGACUUUGAAUCAAAGAUCACAUGAACUGGUUUAAGUAUAAUGACUUUAUUAAAUACCAUCAACAUUUUUUUUCCACUGGGUGGAGCUUAAUAUCAAAAUGAAGAAGCAUUUUAAUCUGAGGGAGGAUGUCAGAAUUCAAAGGCAUCCAGUCUAAAUGUUAUUCAAAUCUUUUAGAUUCUUCAGAUUUCUCCUGUCAUGAUUAUUUUCACUCUCCUCAGUUUUUGGUGGAUGUGUAUUGGGUGCACAGAGGCAGACACAAUAGAACCCUUGUCACUGAAUGAAUAUAGACAUGUUGGGGACAGUGUUACAUUGUCCUGCAGUUACAAAGAAUAUACGGCUACAGUAAAUAAUUUAUUCUGGUACAGACAGUAUCCCAGAUCCAAACUGGAGUUCCUCCUUUACAUCUUGCCACAAGGACUUAUGGUGAAGACAGACCACCCAGAUUUACUGCUGCAGUUAAUCAAGACAACAAACAAGUGGAUCUGAAUAUCUCCUCUGCUGUAGAAACAGAUUCUGCCAUUUACUACUGUGCCCUGGUGCCCACAGUGACAGGAAAUCUGACUACAUCAUACAAAAACCUCCAUGCCAUCAUUAAAGAAAGAUGAAGCCUCGAAAACCUGCUUCAUCCAGUCUCGAAGGCCAGCACAUAAUCGCCAAAAACAGUCUGUAAUUUUGCUGAAGCAAAUCCUAACAUAUACAGAACAUGCAAUAUAGUCAAAGGUUCGCAUUUCCCAAAUGACUGAAAUAGCAGGUAUGUUUUGCCAGGAGGUGGCGCUAUAUGCAUAUUGAGUUUUCCUGCAAUUCGGUGUGCAUCUCCUUAUGUGAGUUUUGUCUUACAUGCACAUUAAUUGUCUGAGUUGUUGUGGUUAUUGCAUGUCAGGUUUUGUCCUUGUAUUGAUGAUAACUGGUCUGCUCAAAAGUCAGAGAUUGGUUUUCAUUUGCAAGAUUUGCAGUUUGUUUCAGGGUUUAGUUUACUUUUGUUAAUGUAAUUUGUUGUUCCCAAGGUUACUGUAAAACAGAGAGCUUGCAUUGAUGCUGCAAUGUUCUUGCUCGCAAGAUGUAUUUUUUAUUUAUUUUUUUUUUUUUUUUACAGUAUAAAUUUGUUAUUGAUAAUAAUAUUCCAGAUAUUGUUUAACUAUAGCAUACUAGUCAAUCGGACACCUUGCCUCAAGUAUUUUAUGGAUAUUUUAGAAUAUGCUAAUUUUUAAUUUAGACUCAUUCUGAACUGUCUGAGAUAGCUGAAAUACUUCAGUAAAGAUCAUUUUACCUUUUGCUCACUUACCAUAAUUCCCUGCUAGAAGGCGGAGCUAUUCGAUUCAUGUCUUUCAUUAGUAAGCUCCUGCUAUAUUGAGUUAGUUUUAGGAAGAAAUGUGCAACAUUGAUUCUCACAGUCAUUUUUGUCUAUUUAUUAGUAAGAUGUAGUUCCUGUUUUUAAUUAUUUUCCUGCUCAAAGGUCAGUUAUUCAUAUUUUUUUAACAUAUGAUCCAAUUAUUUAUUCA